rnacentral:rRNA from 1 species
AGGACGAACGCUGGCGGCGUGCUUAACACAUGCAAGUCGAGCGGUGAUCCUCCUUCGGGAGGUGAUCAGCGGCGAACGGGUGAGUAACACGUGGGCAACCUGCCCCUCACACUGGGAUAACCUCGGGAAACCGGGGCUAAUACCGGAUACGACCUCGAGCGGCAUCUCUUGAGGUGGAAAGCUCCGACGGUGAGGGAUGGGCCCGCGGCCUAUCAGCUUGUUGGCGGGGUAAUGGCCUACCAAGGCGACGACGGGUA